rnacentral:tRNA from 1 species
GAAUAAUGAAGCGAUUUAUUGCAAUUAGUUUCGACCUAAUCUUAGAUGUUUACAUCCUUAUUCU